UGCCUGAUGGUCCAGCGGCUAAGACUCUGCGCUCUUAAUGCAGAGGGCUUGGGUUCGAUUCCUGGUCAGGGAA
rnacentral:tRNA from 1 species